rnacentral:tRNA from 1 species
GCCUCUUUAGCUCAGACGGUUGGAGCACCCGUCUCGUAAACGGGAGGUUCGCGGGUUCGAGUCCCGCAAGAGGCUCCA